CAUCCUCUUAAGAAAAAUGAAAUACUUGAUAUCUUUUGUAAUGGACUAACUGAUGCCUCCAGAGAUUACCUGGAUAGUUGUGCUGGUUCUGUUUUCAGGGAAGGAACACCAGAUGAAGCUGAAAUUCUAUUGAAUAAUAUGUUGACAAAUGAAAAUAAUUGGACACCUCCGGAGCCAAUUCAUGAGCCUAUUCCUAAACCCACUCCGAAAAAGAGGGGUAUUCUAUUUCUCAGUCCUGAAGAUAUGCAAGAGGCAAAGAAAUCUAUGAAAGAAAAAAGUAUUAAAGCUGAAGAUGUUAAUAAUUUACCUCCUAUUAAAGAAAUACAUGGUCUUAAUUUACCGCUUGUUGAAGAAACAUAUGAU
rnacentral:rRNA from 1 species